CUAUUCCUUCUCCCACAAAUAUCGCUCCUCCACAUACCGAAUUCUAGAGAUCUCUUAUAUUCUUCCCAGAAGAUUUUUCAAUUCAGUCGGUCGAGAACUCUCAUUCUAGGGUUUGUUUUCGAUCUUCUCCAAGAAUAUAUUUAUUUUUAAUACUUUUGUUUGCCGAAGCUUGGGGAUAAGGAGCCUCCUGGGUCGUUUGUUUAAUUUAUAAUCAUCAUCUAUUUG